rnacentral:lncRNA from 1 species
UAAGAUUCUAUCCUUUGAGUUCAUGAUUCAUGUGUUGACUUGAAGAAAUAUAUAGAGUUAAAACUGAGCUGAUCAAGAUAAUAUUACCUGUAUUGAUGUUUACUGCUAAUUUGUUUCGAGCAUCAGGGACAACUAAGAUUAAGAACCUGGACGACAAUAUUGGCUCCUUGACAAUAAAACUUACAAAAGAGGAUCUGAAAGAAAUUUCUGAUGCCGUACCCACAGAAGAGGUUGCAGGAGACAGAUACCCAGAUGCUCUUGACAAAACAUCGUGGAAUUUUGCAACCACACCUCCAAGAGACUGUUGAGGUUUGAACUUAAAAUAUUUGCUGGAUGCUGCCCAUAUCAUCACUCGGGGUUGGGAACUGGGGAUGUCAUAUUUUACACAAACAAAGGCAGAUAAAUGUCAAAAUAUGUUUACAAGCUAUUGCUACAUGAUUUCAUACUGAACAAUUUCAUGAGUAAAACUUUGAUCAUUUUGAUGUACUAUAUAUAUGUAAAUGUAGUGUGCCCGAUUUGUGAAAUGAGAAUAUGUGUGAGCUUUGUUAAGGUGCAACUUGAUAAAUUUUUGCCGACACUCUUUCUUUGAAAUUGAAGAUUGCAAAUAUCCAAAUUUUUUAUGGAAACAAUUUGCCUGCAUUUGCUUCAUCCUAGCACAGAUACAUGUUGAUUCGCAGGCAAAUUAUGGUGUUUGUAGAUGAAACACUUGAUUAGUACUGAAGCAAAAUUAUAUUCAAGUUACAAUGCGAAAGGAAAUGGGAAAAUAACUGCCGUUUUUUUUUUCCAGUAAAGAGUUUGAAUCCAUUUUUGAAUGUUUUCAGACUUUUGAGUCCCAUGAAUGUGAUAUAAAAAUAUGCAAUAUUUGAAACUCGUUUUAUCUCCAGUAGUUUCUCUCCUAGAAAUUGUAAAAUUCAUUGGAAUUUGAAAGAAUCACCAAAUUAACAUCAUUUUAUUGGAAACGUGGUGGUUAAAUGAUAAAAGGGGGAUUCUCCAAAUAAGAGUUUAAUAAUACUUUUAUCAUUCAAGAGGAUAAAAAAAAAAAACUACCAUUUAAGUUUGACUGAUACUAUUAUUAGAAAUUAUAGAAUAUAUCAGAUAUACUACAUCAACUAUACAAUAAGAAAAUGAUGUUAUAAUUUAUGUGCAUUCAUUUUGAAGGGGUUUAUAGUUAUAUUAAAUCUAAUUACUUAUGUUAUGCAUAUAUUAAUUGGUUGUAUUGUCUCAGAUGUAUUCUAUAAUUUCUCAAUUAUUACGUCCCUUGACAUACACCCCUUGAAAGUCUUCAUGAAACCCAUUUUCAAUUGAAACUACAUAACUAGUUAAAGAAAAAAUUUAAUUGAUUAUAUUUUAAAUGAAAAUUCAAUUUGAAACUUAUUUAUUCUUUUAACAAACUUUUAAGCUCACACAAUCUCAUAUUCUAUACUUAUCUUUUAUUUUUUAUUUGAAAAUAUAAUUUUUUAUAUUAAAACUAUAAAUUCGCUUAAGAUUUUCUUUUCUUACCGAAAAUUAGUUUAAGAUAUAUCAUUUCGUUUUCUGUAUUUUAAUUUAAUAAUUUUUUUAUUACUAUGUAUAUGGUUAGUGGAGUUUCUAUAAUUAAAAAUUUUAUUCAAAAGGAAAGAAAAUGGAUUGGAGUUUUUUUUCAUUAGACAAAAAUGAAUUAACUCUAUACAGAUCCCCGCGCGGCGCCCAGGGGAUGUAUUUAAAAAAAUUCAAGGGUUUCGUAAGAUUUGAGCUCCCACUGUAUAAUAACUUCAAGCCUUUUUCAGUAAGGGCCUCAAAAUUACCUACAAGACUUGAGCUGGGCUUGCAUUCUUAAACAAGGCCGAGUUCAUCGGAUUUUAGAAAAUGUAGAAUCCCAAAACCCACCUUUUGUUUUUUUGACUUUUUACCCUUAUACAUUUACCACCUUACAUUCUCUUAUUAACCUCACUUUUUAAUUAAACCCAUUUAUUUUUUAAAUUAUCUUGUUUAAAAAAUUAAAAAUAGUUAAAUUAAAUAAUUUUAUUUUUUAUUUUCUCUUUCAUAUGCUUUUUCUGCCAAGCAUCAUCUUCACCCAGUACCUAACUUCAUCACUACCAUGUCUAUCAUUACCACCGCACAUCUUCAUCACCAUCAAUCUACAACCACCUACAACACAUUAUAAUUUGUUAUUGAAUCUUAUUAAAUUUUGUAGAUAAUUGGUGGUUUCUAAUGCUGUCGAUCAUAUGGAUUUAUUUAAUACUUCUUUUUUUUUUUUGUGAUAAUCCAACAUUUUGACAAUUGCAAUGUUGAAUUUGUUUGGGGACUACCAUUUGAUGGAAAUUGUAAAUCAAUUCAAGAAAGUGAGAGAGAUAUGAAAGAGGAAAAGUCGCAAGCUUAAGAAAGUAAUAAUAAUAAUAAUAAUAAUAAUAAUAAUAAUAAAUAAAUAAAUAACUAGAGUUGAUCAAGAAAUACAAAUUGGUGAGAUAAAGUGAAAUAAUCAACUAUCAAUGUUCACUUUUAAAAUUUUAAUUACCUUUUACUUUUUUAGUGUUUUAGAACUCGUUAAAUUUUUUAAUUCUAUACAAGUGAAAAAUAGCCAAUAGAAAUGUAUUCUGCUAAGUUGCUUGUUAAUAUUACUGGGAGUUAGCUUUAGUACAAUUAGAUGACAUUGUUUGUUAGCAUUGACAUUAUGAAAUUCAAUGGGCUAGCUAGGUAGAAAGAUGACAUAGGGUAGGUUUAUAAUCGUUGAGUUUCCACAUAAUUUUAAAUGUAUAGUUUUUAAAGGUUUUAGUAAAUAUUUACUAUUUAAAUAAAUAAUAUUCACCGAACACUUACUCAUUUAUAUUUAAUAAUAAGUAAUUUUGUUCUACAAAUACUUUAGAGACAUUAUGUCUAUUUUUAUUGGUCUAUUUGUCUUUAACAUUUUGGGUCCUAAAAUAAUUAUCAAUUUUUAAGAAGAAUUAAAAGCAAAGGGAUGUUCACGUACCUGCUUACAUGAUGAAUGUAGUUUACCGGAAGGGUGCUUACAUAUUUGCUUACCUGAUUAAUGUAGUAUAUGAUUCUUUAUGCAUUCGACUUACAAUUUUCGUCACUUAUUUAUAUGUUUGAUUUGAUGUCCGAACUUGAAAGUGACAAAAUUUAUGAUUUAGAAGUUAAAUUAAUUUUAUUUUUAUACUUGUAUAAUAAAAAAAAUCUAUAAUACAAUAUAUUAACACCAAACAAGACCUAAACUUCCAGCUCUCGUUUUUUUUUUUUUUUUUAAUUGAAUAAUGUAUAUGGUUCAGCUUUAGAGUUUUAGACAUUUUAAAGACGUUUAUUUUUCAACUUAACACUUAAAAAUUGGUGAUUAUGUUUGAAUUUAAUUUUUUUAUUUUGGCCAUGGUUGCUGUGUAUGUGUGUGUAUGUAUACAAAUACAUCACGACUUGCUCCCCGCACAGAUCACGCUUUAGAUUUUUAAUUAUAUAUUUUUAUUAUAUGCUAAGUUAUUUUGCCCAAUACUCCACGGCAACAAAUUAAAAGCUUUAUCAAUGUCCUGAUGAUUUGAAUUUUCAUAAUUACAAGAACAAAUCAUUUCAAUCGUAUUGGUAUUAAAACUUCAAUUUGAUAUCAUACAUCAGUACAGAUCACACAUGCCCGUUUUAUUGUGUAAAUAAAAAAACAACAAUAGCGAAAAUUUUAUUUUGAUAAAAAAAAAAUUAGGUUAUAAAAUUUUGAUAAAAAGUAUAAAAACAUCAUAAUAUCUUGACCCAAAAAAAAAAACAAAAAACAACUGAUUGAUAACUACCCUGAUAUUUUAAUCAAAAUUUAUAACUCAAUUUUUUUGUCAAUGCAGCAUUAUUUAAUAAACGGACUCGAUUGACCGUUAUGUUUGUUUUUCCUUUAGUUCUUUUCAACAUUUUUUUUAUUCUAAAAAUAAAUAAUUACAAGACGCGAGGGCUAAGGCCACCUUCAUUUUGGUUCCUUAUAAAUGUCAUGAGUCCCACUCCCAUGCCUCCAUAUCUCUGCAUCUUAAGAGGCCGGGACAAGUCUUAAGCCAGUACCAAGAAGAAGAAGGAGAAGAAGAAGUUUGAAGAAAAUGGCUGAAGAACAAAGAAUCGAGAUUCCAAGGGUGAAACUUGGUGGGCAAGGAUUUGAGGUAAAGUUCAUUUGGUAACUCUUUUCUUUUACAGCAUUAGGAAAAAUAUAAACAAUCACAGAGAGACAUUACUGUUUCUCAUAUAAUAUUUUUUGAUGGCUUAUAUGUGUCUUAAAGGUGUCAAAGUUGGGAUUUGGUUGCAUGGGCCUCACUGGAAUUUACAAUGAUCCUGUCCCUGUUGAAGUUGGCAUAUCAAUAAUCAAGCACGCAUUUGAUCAAGGAAUCACAUUCUUUGACACAGCAGACGUCUAUGGACCCAAUAAUGCUAAUGAACUUCUUGUUGGAAAGGUAAAUGAUUAAUUGAUAAAACUGAUGGGUGAAAACUCUUGGCAUGCAAGAUUACUUUGUUUGAGUAAUUAAUUGAUGAAUCUUUUCAGGCUCUCAAGCAGCUUCCAAGAGAAAAAGUGCAGCUAGCCACAAAAUUUGGUAUUGUCAAAUUUGACAUGAGUGAUGUUGUGGUAAAGGGUACCCCUGAGUAUGUCCGCGCCUGCUGUGAGGCUAGCCUGAAGCGUCUUGAUGUUGAAUACAUUGAUCUCUAUUAUCAGCAUCGCGUUGACACAACGAUACCUAUAGAGGAUACUGUAAGUAAUCUGCUGCCUUCAUUUCUGAUUUCCUUGUCAGUAGUCACCAGUUGCCGCAUCACUAGUUAUAGUGGUACAUUUUGCUUCUUAUCAGAUGGGAGAACUUAAGAAGUUGGUGGAAGAAGGGAAAAUAAAGUAUAUCGGGUUAUCUGAAGCAAGCCCUGAUACUAUAAGAAGGGCACAUGCCGUUCAUCCUGUUACUGCCUUACAAAUGGAAUGGUCUCUCUGGACUCGCGAAAUUGAGGAUGAAAUAGUCCCACUUUGCAGGUUCUUUACAAUGAAACUGAAAUUGAUAUGUUGUCAUUCUCAUUUUUAUCUAUUCAACUACAGUAGAUUUUCUUUGGUAAAUGACUCUCAUGCCACCUCUUCAGCUAACAUAUUCCUGCAAGUUUGAUUUCUGUAAAUGAGAGGCAAUUGUCAAUUUUGAAUAUUAUGUUACAGGGAACUUGGAAUUGGGAUAGUUCCAUAUAGUCCACUUGGCAGUGGAUUUUUUGGUGGCAAGGCUAGUGUUGAAAGUUUGCCUGCGAACAGUCUUCUGGUAUGUUUUAGUCUACAAUGUUUCAUUUGUUAUUCUGAUGUUGUUACUUUUGAGAGUAAUUUUGAAUUGAUUAACUGAUGGUCAAUUUUUCCUUAAGACAUGGCAUCCUAGGUUCUCAGGAGAGAACAUUGACAAAAACAAGAUCUUAUAUUUGCGUCUGCAAAAGUUAGCCGAAAAGCAUGAAUGCAACCCUGCACAACUUGCACUUGCUUGGAUUCUUCAUCAAGGAAAUGAUGUAGCACCAAUUCCUGGUGAGUUAAUCUCCUUAUUUUCUUAUCAGCCGGUGCAAUCAUGAUAGACAUCUCUCCUAUAUGAGUUGAUAAGCCUUGUGUGUGCUUUAAUUUUUUUUUUUUUUUUCUUUUUACAGGUACAACAAAGAUUAAAAAUCUAGACGACAAUAUUGGUUCUUUGAGAGUGAAACUUACAAAUGAAGAUUUAGAUGAGAUUUCUUCUGUGAUUCCCAUCAAUGAGGUAGCAGGGGAUGGGGUAAUUGGCGGUCUCCUCCGUUGCUCCUGGAAGUUCGCGAACACACCAGCAAAAGAUAGUCCUCCACUUCCGGCAAUGAGGUAGCAGGGGACAGAAUAACGGAUAAGUUUCCUUCGCUGCUCUUGGAAGUUCGUGAACAUACCAUUGCAAGAUAGUCCCUCCAGCUACUAAAAGCAUCUGAAACUUGAAGAUUUUCCAUUGAAGAGAUUUUUUUUUGUUGGUUCAAUUUAUAAUGAGAGAUUGUGUCACUAUGGGAAAAACUACUAUAGUUUGUUUCAAUAAAUGAUGGGGUAUGCAGGGUAGCUUUUAUGUAUUUGAUUUCAGCUUGCUUUGCUGCUAAAGAAAUACUAUGUAUUAAUGAAUGAUAUGUAUCAAACUCAAGGCUAUUUCCAGCAAGUAAUCUCCCAAAGGAACCCAACAAUAGAUGGAUUUGUAGCUAUUUGCCUCCUUUUGGUAGCAAUUUGACAUCAGUGCAAUAACAAUUCAAAUAUUGUUCAGAAAAAUUUAAACCCUUGAUUUAUUCAUUAUGUAUCAUGAUGAGGCAAUACAACAACAAAAAGAUGCUGUAACUUAUCAGAAUAUUAUUCAGUUUGUUAAAACAUAAGAUAUUUAAACUCAAGUUCAACUGUUUUGUAUAGAGGUAUGGUGGUUCGGAUUGCUCUAUUGUGAAUAUAGUAUCAUCUCGCGAUCAAAGAAGAUACAAAGACAGGGCAUUUCAUCUUUUACAAGCUCAAGAGUAAUAUCAGGAGGCUAAAUUCACCCCCCAAUGUGAUAAAUAUGUAAUCUCAUUGAUAGAGAACAUUUUAGGUGGGAUCGACGUACUUCGUUUUCAUACGUACUCUUGUAAAAUUUUAACAAAUAGAUUUAUCUGAAUUGAUCAAACAUGAUAGAAAGAGAGAAUAAAAACUAAAAUGUGUCAUGUGACAUAAUUUUAAUUAGGGGUUCGGCUACGUUGGAUCAGCUCCAACGUAGCGCCAAUUUUAAUCAGGGUUUCGGCUAUGCGAUCAUAUAAAUCGGAUCUGACAAUCACGAUUACAUGGACUCAAAAUACAAGAUAUGCACAGGAUUAUGGGGUCUUCUUCUCCUUCGCUCUUCAUCGGUUGUUUGACCAAAUGCAAUAAACGAAUCAAAGAAAGCAGGACAUGCAAUGAACCCUAUAUGCAAAAGGGGAGUGGGGGUCUGAAUGCCUCUUGAAUUGAAUCGGCCAAGUGUUGUUUGCAUGCGCUCUACAAACUGCUUUGCUGUCAUCUGAAGCUGAAAGAAUUAUCCCUAGCUCCGUCGGUUUUUUCUGCAACAAAACGACAAUCCCUGCCUUCACUCAUCUUAAUUCAUCCCCUGGUUUUGUUCCUCCUUUUUUAAUCAAUAAUUAAUUCCUGCUCCCUGUUUCCCCUCUCUCUGUAGACUCUACCCACCAAAACCAUUUGCUAUCUUUCCAAUUUUCUUCCGUAUAUAUACACACAUUCAUAGAACAUUUUAUAUUACAACACUACGUAUAUUACUGAGUUACUUUCAAUAGAAAGAUAAAAAAGUGGUAUACAUGUAUACGAUGGAGACGGUGCAUGGACUGUAGGGGAAGCUGGGGCGGCAAUGCUAUGCUGUAUUUUGCUUGGGUGUGAUUCUUGUUGUGUCGGUGACAAUCGCUCAUUAUGUUGAACCAAAGGAUAAUUCUGCAUCAGCUACUGGUUAAAGCAGAGCCAAGGCCACCCGUCGUGGUCUUCGACCUUUACACAGUCCUCUUCCAGUGUCUCCGAAUUUCUACUGAUCAUCACUCCCCACCAGCCAACUAGCUGCUCUAUGCUACCUUCUAGAAUUCUAGAGACUUUAAUUAACUAAUUAAAUUCUAGACUUGUUUAUGGGUUUAAUCAAUUUGCUCCCCCAGUUUCUAUGUAAAAAUUUUGCUUAAUUUAAUUAAUUGUGUUGGUGCGAGAUUCGGUGUCUGCUCGUUCACGACCAGGAUCUCUCCUCAAUGCUCAAGUUUACAGUUGACUAUAGGUAACUUCACGCUGCCCCUUUGUAGACGAGUAGAACUAUGACUCUUACUGCUUCUCUCCGGCAGACUCCUGCGCACACAAAAACUGAUCAGAGCACGUUGAGGGUUUUCCCGGUGUAAACCCUCCGACGCUCAAGUCAGAAAUCUGGGCUUACUUUUGAAAAAACUCCAUCAAUAAUUUCUUGGCUUUGUAAUGAUUCCUAAAGCAAUGAAAUCCCUAUGAAUUUUCCUGAGGUUCUCACUAGAAUGCCCCUCGGAAUUUCUUUUUGUCUCUUUUUUAGUUUUUUUUGUUCAACCCUUUUACCUUUUUUUAUUGCCCUUUUCAUAGCCUCCCUGAGAAUUCGACCCUCUUUGACUCAUGUUUGCCACUUUGCCAGAAUCCUCGGAAGUAGAUGGCUGAACGUGGUGGUCGUAGUUGAGUGGACUUCGUGCCUGGAUUCUAGAAUAAUAGUGCAUGUCCUGUUUAACUGUCGUGUACUAGGUAUGCUGAUUUAGCCCCUAACGGGAAAUGUUCUCGACGCCUAGCAAGGAACCUGCUCGUAUUAUGGUUCCAGUAGAUGGUCUUCUCAUAGACGAGGAGAAGACUCCUGCUCUCGGACGUCACAUUGCUCCUCGCUUACGAGAAGGUCAACUCCUCUCCUGGGUAUGGCAGAUCACGCUAUAAUAUCCCCCCAAACACCGGUCCCCCAAUUUUUGGUAUUGGUAAUGCAAUGGAUCAAUACUAGAAACUUAAUAAUCAUGGUUUGCUCAUAGUAUAUUUCGACCUCUUGAUAUUAGGUCCAUUAUGGCUACCAUUUUGGCAAGGAUAUCUGCUCAGUAGUUCUCGCUCCUUGGGAUUUGCACUACGUCCACUGAUUCGAACUUCCCAAUCAACUGUCUGACCUUCUUUAGUUACUGUUCCAUCUUCUCAUUUAUGGGUUGAAAUCUUUCACUUACAUGGCUCGCGACCAAUUGGGAAUAGGUCCGGAUUUUCACCCUAUUUUCUUUCACUGCCUUAACUAACUCUAACCCUGCAAUUAGAGCUUCAUAUUCGGCCUGGUUGUUUGUGGCCGUAAACUCUAACUUGACAACGUAAGAGAUCUCUUCCCCUUCUGGGCUUUCCAAAACAAUCCCCGCUCCGGCACCCUACUCACCUGAGGAUCCAUCCAUCGACGCUUGCCAAACUGCCUCCGUCGUUGCCUGCAGCAGCACUUGUGUGGUCGAAGUCUACUUCAGGCUCUAUGAACUCUGCCACGAAGUCUGCCAUCGCUUGGGCUUUAAUUGCUGCUCGGGGUUUGUAGCUUAUAUCGAACUUGCUUAGCUCUAUUGCCCACUUCACUAGCCGACCGAAAGCAUUCGAUUUGUGUAGGGUCUACCACAAUGGUUGGUCUGCUACUACCGCAACUGAGAAUGCUUGGAAGUACGGUCUCAACUUUCGAGCAGCCACUACAAGGGCGAGUGCCCAUUUUUCCAACGUCGGGUACUUGGUCUCGGCAUCGAGCAGAGCUUUGCUGGUGUAAUAUAUUGGGUACUGGACCCCUUCUUCUUCUCUCACCAGAAUUGAGCUUGUAUUGUGAUUGGAUACACAGGACGUCCCCCUCUCGUGGUGUGGACAAUAAGAGUGUUUGUUGUAGGUAUUGUUUCAGUUUCAAGAAUGCCUCUUUGUAUUCGGGGGUCCAUUCUAUUUUCCUCCCCAUCCUCAUCACUUGAAAAAAGGCGUGACAUUUGUCUGUGGCCUUGGAUAUAAAUCGACUCAACGCCGCCAACUUUCCCGUGAAGCUUUAUAUCUCCUUCAAAUUACAAGAAGAUCUCAUUCCCACAAUUGCUUGGAUCUUCUUAGGAUUCGCCUCAAUCUCCCGAUGGCUUACCAUGAACCCAAGGAAUUUUCCCGAUCCAACUCCAAAAACACACUUUUUUCGGGUUGAGCUUCAUCUUAUAUUUUCUCAAAAGCCCAAAUGUCUCCUCAAGGUGCUUGACGUGUUCAUCCGGGCUUUUUGAUUUGGCUAUUAUGUCGUCCACAUAAACCUCCAUCGUUCACCCAAUCAAUGGCUUAAAGAUUUUGUUCACCAACCUCUGGUAUGUAGCACCUGUAUUUUUAAGGCCGAAUGACAUUACCCUGUAACAAAACAAACUCUGGUUAGUAAUAAACGUCGUGCUCUCCUCUUCAUACUCGUACAUUAGGAUUUGGUUGUAUCCAGAGAAUGCGUCUAUGAAGCUGAGCAGAUUAUGCCAUGCUGUUGAGUCAACCAGUUGGUCGAUCUUCGAUAAGGGAAAGCUUUUUUUCAGGUAUGCCUUGUUGAGGUCGAUGAAGUCAACACACAUUCUCCAUUUACCAUUGGCCUUCCUUACAAGAACGACAUUCAAUAUCCAUUCGGGGUAGUUCACUUCCUGAAAGAACCCUGCCUGCAAGAGCUUCUCCACCUCGCUAUUUAUGGUUUCGUAUCUCUCCUGGUUGAAAUACCUUCUCUUUUGCCUCACAAAUCUGACACCCUUCUUUAUCUCCAACCUGUGGCAAGCCACCUCGGGGUCGAUCCCCGGCAUGUCAUCAUGCGUCCAGGCAAACAUAUAUGCGUGAGAUCGCAUGCAGUGUAUCAACUCUUGCUUCAACUCCCCCUCUAUCUUCGACCCAAUCCUAAGUGUUUUCCCCAUACCGUCCUUAUUCAAGUUGACAGUCUCCAGCUCCUUAACCGUCUCAUGUCUGCCCCUCAUAAAUUUUGCUUAGUCAUGAAGCGAGGUAAUUUACAUCGCCUCUUUCGUUGCUGUAGUGUAACAGCUUCGAGUAAUUCUCUGAUUUUCUUGUACCACGCCAACCACCCAAUUUACUCGGUACUUGAGAGCCAAGUUAGAUAGCACCGCCUUACUCAUCCUCAAGAAAAGGCGGCCUAAAAUCAUCUAGUAGGGGCUCUCUUCAUCGACCACAAUAAAAUCUAGGAUCAUUGUCUUUUCUAAUGGAGCAGAACCUAUAGUAAUGGGUAGCUCGACCACUCCAAGUGGGGCUAGCCUUCCUCCCCUGAACCCCUUUAAUGAUGUGUUGAUGUGCUCUAUCCUCAAAUCUGCUAUUCCCAUUUCCUCCUAAGUUGACUUGAACAGGACAUCGACCGAGCUCUCAAUAUAUACUAGGAUUCAAUCAAACUUCUUGCUGGCGACGAUGGCUUCAAUGACAAGUGCAUCCUCGUGUGGGUAUAGCACUCAUUCUUCGUCCUCAUCCGUCCACAUGAUCAGCACAUGCUUGGUCCUUGUUCGUGUUGUUGUCGGAGUGUUAAAUAAUACUUUUUUGCUAGUCACGGCAUACCUAGCAUAGUUCUUUCUAGAUCUGUUGGAAUCCCCAGCCAACGUUGGGCCCCCAACGAUAACUCUGAUGAUGGGCUGCUUGUGACCUGCAUUUCUAGUGCCCUGCUCUGCUCCACAUGAUGAGCCUGCAAUCGAGAUAGCUCUAUCUAUGAACUCGUCCAGGUAACAAUUCCUUACUAAAUCUUCCACCUGAUUUUUUAGAUCACUGCAUUAGGACAUAGUAUGACCAUGAGUGCCAUGGAAUUCGCAAAACCGGCCCUUAUCUCAUCUGCUAGGUAGUUUUGCUAUUGGGGUAGGAGGAUACAGCAAACCAUGAUCCUUUAUUGCAUUGUACACCUCGUCCAGAGGCGUCUUCAAGGAAAUGUACCGCCUAUAGCUCUGACUCUGAUCGAUCACGUGCAUUGCCUUUUCCCUGUGGGCGUUGUUUUAAGCGGGAAGGGGCAUUGGUGCAUUUGGUCUGCUAGCUCUCAUACUCUGUAGGUGGUGGGUCAUCGUAGUAUGAUGAUGAAGGUGACUAUACAUCUAGUCAAGCCUUCCCCAAGAAUCUCUAGCUAGUGAACGAGAAAGCUGCAUCCUGCUACGUUGAUAUUGGAGUGGCCUCUGGUGAGGUUGGUAAGAGACGACCCGACUUCCCGCACUGCCACCCGGGGCAUGGUGGUCCUUCCAUUUAAUUGGCCCGCUUUCUGCUAUGACUUUCUUUUCCUUUCUCCUCAACCCCUCCAGCUGGUCCGUCUUAAUCCUCGUCGUUUUUUCCUCCUCGAUUUCUAUGUCCCUCUUGGCUUGCUCAUAGGCCACGAAAUAUGACUGAACUGCUGGACUCCUUAAGUUGUACCACAGACUCUCUAUCUUUACUCCUUCCUUUAGCCCCCUGAGGAUGGUUGAAGGCUCUAAGAUCGAGGAUAGCACGAUGGUAUCUUUUGAUAAAGUCCCGAAGAGUCUCAUUUUCUCCUUGCUUCAUACUCGUCAGCUCCAUCAUAUCAUCUUCUGGUGUCAUUGUCCCCCGAAAUUGCUCUGCAAAUUCCUGGCACAUCUGCUCGAAUGUUCUGAUGUUUUCCGGAGGAAACCUUCGAUACCACUCACCCUGCAUCUCUGGGCUUGAGAUAAUCUCUACACUCCGGUUAUGUCAUUGAAACGCUUUAUGUGCACCAAUGGGUCGGCUCGACUAGGAUCACGUGCCGUUACCUGGUCUUGCUCUUGCUCGACAUCACGCAUGUGUUGUCGAAGUUCCAUCUCCUCAGCGUUCGCAACCCUGUUAUUAUUGCCUGUGUUCUGCCUACCCGGGGGUUGAUUCCCUCUUUCAUGACUUUCCGUAGAGAUUGGUCACUGAGUCCACCACCAGGCCUCCCGGUAGUUAAACCUCUCAUCAUAGUGGUCCUUUCACCGUUGUUCCUUCUAUUAACAUGCCCCGGUGUAACUCUGUCACUUCUCAUCAUUUCUUCGUGAGUUUCUCUUUGUUCUUUCUCAACGCGUGCAAGAUGGUUGUCAGAGUUUCCAUCUGUUUUUCCAUCCGCUCAUGCAUUGCUCUUUCUCGCGCCUCGUUAGUUAUUUCUCUUAAUAUUACGGAUUCGUUAAGCCUCAUAUCCCCUCCUUGGACAUUACUCGUACCUACGUCCAUAGUCACCCCGCUUUUUUUCCCUUCCUUCUCUAUGUUAACGCUCUCUGUUAACAAAAGCUUUUUGUUCAGCUCCCCAUAGACGACGGCAAAAUGUUGAUGCGAGAUUCGAUGUAUGCUCGGUCACGACCAGAAUCUCUCCUUAAUGCUCAAGUUUGCAAUUGACUAUAGGUAACUCCACGUUGCCUUUUUCUAAACGAGUAGAACUAUGACGCUUACUGCUUCUCUCGGCAGACUCCUGCACAUACAAAAACUGGUCAAAGCACGCCGAGGGUUUUCCCGGGGUAAACCCUCCGGCGCUGAAGUCCAGAAUCUGGGCUUACUUUUGGAAAAACCCUGCCAAUCAUUUCUUGGCUUUGUAAUGAUUUCUAAAGCAAUGAAAUCCCUGUAAAUUUUCCUGAGGUUCUCACUAGAAUGCCCCAUGGAAUUUUUUUUUUGUCUCUUUUUUAGUGUUUUUUGUCCAACCCUUUUACCUUCUUUAAUUGCCCUUUUUAUAACCUCCCUGAGAAUUCGGCCCUCAUUGACUCACGUUCGCCACUUUGCCGAAUCAUCGUAAGUGGAUGCUUGAACGUGGUGGUCGUAGCUGAUUGGGCUUCGUGCCUGAAUUCUAGGAUAAUAGCGCAUGUCCUAUUUAACUGCUGUGGACUAGGUCUGCUGAUUUAGCCCCCAGCGGGAAAUGUUCUCGACGCUUAGCAAGGAACUUGCUCGUAUUCUAGUCCUAGCAAAUGGUCUCCUCAAGGACGAGGAGAUGACUCCUGCUCUCGGAUGUCACAUUGCUCUUCACUUAUGAGAAGGUCAACUCCUCGCUUGGGUAUGGCAGAUCACGCUAUAAUAUCCCCCCAAACAAAUUGUUAAUUAACAAAUAACAUAAACGCUAAUUUUCGCGCAAGUUUCAACAUUACUUACUUGGUUGCCUUCUGUUCUCGUGUUUGCGUCUCUGUCUUCCAUUACGAGCACUAAAAAAGGUAUAAUCAACGGUUUGCGAGAUAGUUGCGACUGCAGUAGGUGCCAGCGUCGAUCAUCAGCAUGGCGAUGCAUAGUAGAAUUAGGCGAGGAGAGAUAGAGAGAUAUAAUCAACGAUUGCUGAUCAAAUUUGAAACUUUCCAGCGAACCGACGGUGAUGAUGAGAUUGAUUCCGAUUAUAAUGAAGAAACUGGUGAAGAGCGAAGGAGAAGAAGACCCCAUAAUCCUAUGCAUAUCUUGUAUUUUGAGUUCAUGUAAUCGUGACCGUCACAUCGAAUUUAUAUGACCGUAUGGCUGGUAUUAGUUGGAGGUGAUCCAAUGUAGUUGAACACUUUUAUUAGACGAUUACAUCGUGUGUUGUGACUGUAAAUUUCUCCCACACCUAACAUUUUGCAAAGUACAGGGAUUAUUUUGUCAAAUCUUAAAAUCGUUAGCACUUGUUUUGAAUUACACUAAAUUGACCAAUCAUGAUAGUAAAAGAAAAAAAAAUGAAAAUUCGUUUGCACACAACAACACAACAGAGGCAAAGCUUAUGUUACAAAUAUUGUAACAAACAACUAAUAGAUAUGGAUCAUUAAUUUUUAUAUUUCUUAAAUCCAAUGGAUGAAAGUAAUUUUAACCAAAAACGAGAUACGGGUGCAAUAGUAAUUUAAAGAAAACUUUAUUUUUAAUCACAUAUUUACUUAUUUUUUCAAAUAAGUCCUCAUUAAUUUUGUAUAAUUAUAUAGUUUUCUAUAUUUAUUUUUAAAUUUUUUAAAAAGUUUUUACUAUAUUUUUAUAAGAAUUUAAAUGAUUAUCAUGUUCAUAAAUAUCCACAAAUUCUGAAUAUAUAUUUGCACCUGUAUUUAUAAAUUCUUGUCUCUCUUAAGAUAUAAACUAGAUUUUUUCUACACACACACACACACACCAUAAAUGCUUUCACAUAGAUUUUGUAAUAUGAAUCUAGCAUCCUAAAUUAUAAGAGAUAUUAUAUAUCAUGAAUAUCUUAUGAAUUUAAUGAAUUAUUAGAAAAAUGAUACAAUGAAUAAAUUACCAAAAUUUCUAAUAAUUUCACAAAACAUAAAAACCAAUAAGCUACCACAUUCUAGCUAUGGGCGAAAAGGAUUUUCAGGUGGAAGAUUUCAACUUUUCGAUUGGAUCAAUGAUUCAAACAUGUGAGCUAAUAAUCAAUUAAAUUGAACUUCGUUGUAUUUAUUAAAUAAAUUAAGAAACCCAAAUUUAUCUAUAAAUUAUAUAGAAAGUGCAAACAAAAUGUAAGAGAUUAAUAAUUUCAAUGACGAAAAUAUAAAACAAAUUAAAAAUUCAGGAGAUCAAAUGAGCAAAGAAUUUUAUAAGGUUAAACAAUUAAUGAAAUAAUUCAAUAUUGAAGAUCAAGAUAAAUUAAAGUAAGAGAUCAUUAAUAUAACGAAUAAAAACUCAAUAGAUGUAAGAUUAAAUAAGUUAGAGAUUCAAUUGGAUAAUAUAGAAAAAAAAAAUUGUUGAGAAACUGUACUAAAUCUACUGUAAAUAUAAAUAGAAAAUUUUAAGAAAAUUGAAGUUCGAAGAUACAAUUACGACAAAAAGGGUAAUUAUAUUGAUCUCCAAACAACCAUCAAUGCAAUUUAAAUGAAAGAUGUGAUUGUAUACAGGAGAAAUUCAACAAGUUUCAUCAUCUGUAAAAGUUUCCAAGCAAAUAGCACAGUCACUAGAACUUGAUGAUGAUGUAGUUUUUAACCUUUUGUAAUUUACAAGUUGCUUCAUUUUAUUCAAGGUUUGCUCUCUUUGCCUUUGCCUUUCUUUUGAGAUUUAUAAAAAUCUAUUUAAUAUCUCUAAUAGUUUAUUUAAUAUCUCUAAUAGUCAUAAGUUGGUUUGAUGAGACCAAAUGUGAUCAAAAUCAAAUCUUCUUUGCCAGAUAAAAAACCAACCAAAAACGUGAUAAAAGAAGAUGAAGAUAUACAAACCUAUGAGGCAAAUGUGGAUAUAAUUUUGGGAACUGUGUGAGAAAUAAUAAAGACUUGAGGGGGCAUAGGUUUUGCCAUUGAUGUUGACGAAAGGGUGGCUAAUAAUAACUAAUAUCCCUCCCGGGAAAUUUCAAAGACUUUUACAGGCAUCUUGGGGUUUAAAACAAAAUUUUAAAACUCAUUGACUUUUUUAUAAUUAUAAACUUUACGAAGGAUUUAAAAUCUUUUAGCUGUAACGCACAGCUAAUGUAACGGAAGUUUUGCCCCCAUCAGAACAAGUUUCAGGUUUUGAAAUUUCCCACCAUCCGAUUCUGUAACAAACAUCUCCCGUCAUUCCACCAUCCGAUUUUCUAUUGUUUAGUUUCUCACUCCACAUCCAACCACAUCCAACCACAUCCAACGGCUGAUGCUGCAGUCUGUAGCUUACAGAUUCUGUAAGCUAGUCAAGUCCCAGUUUCAGCACUUAAAAAAAAAAAGUACCUGUCUUCACAUCCUUGGAGUUGGAGCCAAACCAGAUUCCUUUCCUUUUUGUCCCAUCCAGCUCAAGCUCAAGUCAACCAACUAAUUAUUGAAAGAAUACCAGGACAAACCAAAACCACAGCAUCAAAUAUGGCAGAAGGGAUGAAACUCCAAGUUCCGAGAGUGAAACUCGGAACCCAAGGCCUUGAGGUAACUACCCAUUUGUAAUUUUCUUUUUUUUUUGUUCUUUUAAUCCUGAUCGUUUGAUUUCUCUGAUUGUGUUUUUUUGCUUUUACAGGUAUCAAAGCUGGGAUUUGGAUGCAUGAGCCUGAGUGGAGGUUACAAUUCUCCAGUCUCUGAAGAGGAUGGCAUCUCUAUAAUAAAGCAUGCUUUCAAUAAAGGAAUCACUUUCUUUGAUACUGCUGAUAAAUAUGGACCAUAUACUAAUGAAAUUCUUCUUGGAAAGGUUAGGAUCUUGACUCUUGACACUUGUGUAAGAAUUCUCUUAACUAAACACUUGUUAUGUUUGAUUAAUUUAGUUACAAUUCACAUCUAGAUCAAGCGGUAACCUAAAGAGUAUGAUAGCUGCUAUGGUUCAAGUAAUUUAACUGAUAACUGUGGAAUCACACUCCUAAUAUAAUAUGUUUGUUCAAGGAAUUGGUGAAUAUUUAUUUUUGCACAUUAUUGAGGAUAUAGAAAUCAUUGUUAAAAUUUUCCGAAUUUAUUGGAAAAAAAUUAAUUCCUUUCAGGCCUUGAAGAUGUUGCCCAGAGAAAACAUACAAGUAGCCACAAAGUUUGGGUUUGCAGAAUUGGGACUUGAUGCUGUGAUUGUGAAGGGUAACCCUGAGUAUGUGCGCUCAUGUUGUGAAGCUAGCUUGAAGCGCCUUGAUGUGGAAUACAUUGAUCUGUAUUAUCAACAUAGAGUGGACACAUCAGUCCCCAUAGAGGAAACUGUGAGUGAUUCUCUCUUCCUCAGGCUAACUAUCUGAAUUGAAGAGUUUUGACCCCAAUUAUGAUUUUUAGAUUCUGAUUGUAUCAGUAGUGGUGGGAUCCAUAUUGAUUGAAUGUGUUCAAAACUAUAUUUGUCAUUUCCUUGUCAAAAUAUAGAUUGGCGAAAUGAAAAAGCUGGUGGAAGAGGGUAAAAUCAAGUACAUAGGAUUAUCUGAGGCUAGCCCAGAUACAAUUAGGAGAGCACAUGCUGUUCAUCCUAUCACAGCUGUACAACUGGAAUGGUCUCUUUGGACUCGUGACAUUGAGAAUGAGAUAGUACCACUUUGCAGGUUCGUUCGACUCGCGAUGAAGAGUGUUUAAGGACCUAUUUAAUUGUUCCUAUCUAAAACUUUAAUUUUUGCAUCUAGUGUCUGAGUAUAUAGCAUUUCAUAAAAUUAGUAACUUGAAUAGGAUAGAUUAGAUUUUCAAAGGAAGUAUAUUCUAUUUAUUUGUUCCAAUCUACUAUUUUGUACCUAAUGUCUGUAGAUAUGGAAUUUUGUAAAAUUCAAUACUUGCAUAGAAUAGAUUAGAUUAGAUUUUAAGUGGAAGUAUAUGCUUGCAUGUACAAGACUGCCCUUCUGAUAGAUUGAAGUGUGCAGGGAGCUUGGCAUUGGAAUAGUUCCAUACAGUCCUCUUGGUCGUGGAUUUUUCGGUGGCAAAGCUGUUGUGGAAAGUGUGCCUCCAGAUAGCUUUUUGGUAUGUUUUUCAUCAAUGUUUGUCCGCAUCGUUUUGUUUCAUAACACAGUAUAACAUAGAUGUUUUUAAGAAACAACAUGAGCUUUCCAGUUUCAUUUGAGACUAAUGUUCCAUAUGUGGUGAAGCUUAUUAAAAUUCUGCAUGUAUCUGUUUUAUAAGAAUUUUCUUCCUCGGUUCACCGGAGAGAACCUGGACAGAAACAGGAGUAUUUAUUUUCGCAUAGAGAACCUUGCCAAAAAGUACAAAUGCACUUCUGCGCAAUUAGCACUGGCAUGGGUUCUCGAACAGGGGGAUGAUGUCGUACCUAUUCCUGGUAAGUUUCUAUCCUUGAGUUCAUGAUUCACGUGUUGACUUGAAGAAAUAUAUAGAGUUCAAAUUCGAGCUGAUCAAAAUAAUGUUGCCUAAUGUUUACUGGUAAUUUGCUUCGAGCAUCAGGGACAACUAAGAUUAAUAACCUAGAAGACAAUAUUGGCUCCUUGACAGUAAAACUUACAAACGAGGAUCUGAAAGAAAUUUCUGAUGCCGUACCCACAGAAGAGGUUGCAGGAGGAAGAUAUCCAGAUUCCUUUGACAAAACAUCGUGGAAUUUUGCAAACACACCUCCAAAAGACUCUUAAGGUUUGAACUUUAAGCUUAAAAUAUUUUCUGGAUGCUGCCUAUAUCAUCACUUGGGGUUGGGAGCUUGGGAUGUCUUAUUUUACGCAAAUAAACUCAGAUAAAUGUCAGAACAUGUUUACAAGAUACCGGUACAUUACUUCAUGCUAAACAAUUUCAUGAGUAAAACUUUGAUCAUUAUGAUGUACUAUAUAUUUGUAAACAUGGUGUGCCGGAUUUGUGAAGUGAGAAUAUGUGUGAGGCUUUUUAAGGUACAACCUGAAAUCAAGUUGCUAAAAUAUUUUUGCCGACUCUCUCUUUCUUUGAAAAUGAAGAUUACAAAUAUCCAAAUUUUGGAUGGAAACAAUUUGACUGCAUUUGCUUCAUCAUAGUACAGAUACAGGUCGAUUCGCAGGCAAAUUAUGGUGUUUGUAGAUGAAACACUUAUUGAAGCAAAAUUAUAUUCAAGUUACAGUGAGAAUGGAGAUUGGAAAAUAACUGCUGUUUGUUUAAGAAUACUCUCUUAUCAUUCAGGAGGAUACAAAUUAACUACCAUUUAAGUCUGACUGG